rnacentral:lncRNA from 1 species
GACUGAGUGCCCGAGCGUCCCCGCCGCCCCGCCGCCCUUCCUGGCCGCCGGGCUGCGGUCCAGCCCCCGGCCUCGCUAUCCUAGUUCUCUGCUUGGGGUCCUGCUUCUGCUCUUGCCGCCGCCUCUCCCGCUUCUUCCGGGGGGGACAUGCCGCAGAAUCUAGACUGCUCAGUGCUCCGACGUCUGCUCUCUGACAACCCCGCCGACGCCGCCAUUCGCUGCCUCAGCAAAGGGGUGCUCAAAAACGGAAGUGAUCAUUUUACCAAAUAGGCAUUUUCCAGCUUAAAAAAGAUGUGCACAUUAUUUUUCUUGGUUUACUCUUCCUAUAAUCGAUACCGUUUAGUGUAGAAAAGCCUUCUCCUUGCUCCAUUGUUUUGAAAGAAUUAAUAUAGACUGCCUCUCAUCAAAUUUUUCCACGAUUUUAAAUUAAGUUAAUCUCAGACUGUUAACUUUUCUUUUCAGCUGGACACAUUUAGAGACUCAGUGUAUCUUUCUCUUCACUCCGGAAAGAGACAGCCACUAAGAGAUUAGCUGAUUUGAGUAUCCCUCUGUGGUCGAUUAUACCAUUGCAAAUCCUGCUCUGCUUUAGGUUGGCAGUUUAUUAUUUAAUCCAGUAAUUAUUCAAAAUUCACUUGGACAGAUUUGUAAGGUAGCAGCAGAUAUUACUUAAAAAUCUUUUCCUUUCCUGCUUUUACAAACAUGUAGUUCCUUCCUGAAAGGUAAUGUUAGUUUUGUGGGGGGUUUGGUUUUUUUUUGGUACUGCUUCUCUACUGCUACUAGGUGGGAAGCUAGUUCUUAUUUUUAGGGCCUUGAAGUGACACAUACACAAAAUUAUAAUCUGCUAAUGAAGAAAUAAUUUAUUCAGGUCAAUAAUAUAAGUGCAAGUUAAUCACUGUUCCAGUACUAUACGAUGUAUUUUUCAUGAGUGAUGAACAGGCCUGCAAUUGUUUUUCUUUACAAGAAUCACAGCAAACAAGGUUAUGUUCUAUUGCCUGUUAUCUGAGCUCUGUUUUUCAGACAUAUUCUCAUAUUCAGGAAUAAACUAAAUCUGAGUUUUAUGACUUGUAUGGAUUUAAGAAAUGUAGGGAGGAGUUUCAUUCUAAUCAAAUUCUUCCUGACACAAUGGUUCACCCUGAUUUACCAGUUUUUGACUACAUUGCUGAGCAGAGAGAAA